rnacentral:rRNA from 1 species
AACGCGAAGAACCUUACCAGUUAUUGGCAUGGCGUUUAAAUCGUGGUACGAGCCGGGGCUCCCGCAAGGGGGCCGUUACCGGUGCUGCAUGGGUGUCGUCAGCUCGUGUGGUGAGAUGUGGUGUUAAGUCCCAGCAACGAGCGCAACCCUUGCCUUCAGUUGCCAUCUGGUAGGGCCGGGCACUCUGAAGGAACUGCCGGUGACAAGCCGGAGGAAGGUGGGGAUGACGUCAAGUCCUCAUGGCCCUUAUCGGNNGGGCUACACACGUGCUACAAUGGCGGUGACAGUGGGAAGCGAAGCAGCAAUGUGGAGCUAAUCCCCAAAAGCCGUCUCACUUCCCAUCGAAGGCUGCAACUCUACCAACCGAAGGUGGAAUCGCUAGUAAUCAAUAAUCACCAUGCCCUUGUGAAUACCGACCCGGGUCUUGUACACACCG